ensembl:lncRNA
CAGAGGAAGGCUGAUGGAGAAAUUCCUUCUCCCAGGGAGAGGAGACCGUGAAAUAUGUGCUUUGCUUUCUGGCAGGAGCCAAAUGAAAGGAGAUGGAGUGAGUCAGACCAAAGCCCACAGCAAGUUGGGAAUAAAACAGCACCUGGUAGAGUCUCCGGGAUUACAAGCCCACCAAAACAUCUGUGUGGACCAGGAGGUUUCCACUCAGAAUGAAGAGAAACUGGUUGCUGAAUCUGGCUGGAAGGUGACCAUUUUCCUCUUGGGAUCUGAUCUUCAUCAGACGUGGAUACAGAACGCACUGUGACCAGAUGAGGCCGGAUGGUUCUUGGUUUCCUCUUCAGCCAGCAGUGGGCUUGCGCCUGGAUGGAACAAGUCAAGGCCUGCCCGUGUUUCAGGCCAAGUGGGGCUGAGCUGAGAAUUCCCUGGGGACAGUUCAGGUGGUCUAGGUCUGAAACUGCUAAACCCUUCUGCUCCGGACCUGACACCUCCCCCGGGCUCUGGCCACCCUUCCACCCACCUCCCUGCUAACCAAGUUCAGGGGCUUCCAUUUGCCGAGCCCAGAGUCCCCGGUGGCCAGUGUGAGGGACGUCGCGGGAAAUGCGAGGAGCAGCGGCGGGCCGCCAGGCUGUGACUCUACGAGCGAAAAAUGUGCUCUUGGCCGGGCUCUCCUUCCUCUCUCCUCUCGGCCUUUCCAGGCAGCGAGGAGCUGGCAGGCCCGGGUGCAGAUAACGGCGAGAGCCCCGGGCCCUCUUCUGUCAUCGCCUCCCCAACGUGAAACCCAAGAUCUUGUUUAUUUAUGAGGAAAUUCUGUUCUGCUGCUCGACAAAUGGUGUAUGGGGGCCAGGGCAUACGGAGCGUGGAGCCAGCGCCGCCAGGCCUCAGCACGCUGCCCCCUCUGCUGAUGCAAGCUCGGAAGGAUCGCUGGCCGCCGCCGGGAGGCCGGCAGGACGCUCCCCAGAUGGAUGCUGGCAGGGCAGGGAGGGGGUCCUUCCUCUGUCCACUCCUUCCCCCUGCCCCACGGC